AAUGUCCCAGUGACUUGGAAAUAUGGAAGGAUGAUAGGUCUUAGAACUCCCUCCCAGUGGCUGGUACCUGAACAUAUCUGAGUUUAUGAUGUUCUUUGUGAAUGGCAUCCUAUUUUAAGUGAACUGAGAUUUUAUCACAGAAUUAAGCUUAUUAUUUUGAGGAAUAUUUUUUGUGGCAAGAAUAAUCUUUGCCUUCAAAGCAUUCCCUGUAGAGUCAGGAACAAGACAAGGAAGCCAGCUAUCAUUGUUACUAUUUAACAUUGUACCUAAGAACUAGCCAAUGGAACUAAACAAGAGAAAUAAAUUUAGUGGUAUAAAAACUGGGAGGGUAGAUGUAAGGCUGUCACUGUUUACAAACUAUAUGAUCAUAUACCCAGAAAGCUCAAGUGAACCAAAGAAAAAAACACUACUAUAAAAAAUAAUUUCGUAAGGUAGCAGGAUAAAAAAAUUAAUAGAUACAAACAAAUGGACUUCAUCAUACAAAAAACAACCAGUUAGAAGUAAUAAGAGCAACAGAAAACCACCAGAUACCUAGGAGUAAACUCUAACAAGAGGAAAGACAUACCAUGUGCUAAGACGGGAAACACCAACAUCAUAAGAUGUCAGUAUUGUUCAGGUUAAUAUACAAAUGUAAUGUAACCCAAUAAAAAUACGAACAGAUUUUUAUUUUAUGUUGUGCUUUUACAGCUGGACUAGGUGAUUCCAAAGUAUACAGAAAAUAAAUAUGAACAGUUGAAAUUCUGGGGGGAAAAAUACAGCGAGGGAGACUAGCUCUAUUAAUAUUACAAGAAACUGAGAGACCGUCAGAGAUUAGAAGAGUAUCACAUUGGCACAUAAAUAAAUAAGCAUCCAUGAAAAAGCCCAGAAAUUUACCCCAGUAUAUUAUAAACGCAGCAUCUCAAAUAAAGGGAGGAAAAUGGACCAGUCAGCAUAUGCUGUUGGGACAGACUUACAUCUAGAUAAAUUCCAAAGAGGUCAAAGAUUUAAAUAUUGAAGGUAAAACUUAAAAGUGCCAGAAGAAAAUAUAUUUGAAUUCUCUUAUAGUCUGAGGGUGAAAAAGGCUUUUUAUUACUCUGACAUGAAAUCUCAGGACCAUAAAAGAAACGUUUGGUAAUUUCGACUAUGCUGACAUGAAAGACGUGUGCUGGCAGGGCCACCAGUCAAAAUCCAAGGACAAACCUAGGAAAAGUGAUUUGCCCUUCAUCUCCUAGAUAACAGGCUAAGUUUCUGAGUAUUCAAAGAAGUGCCCAGGCAUCAAGAAGAAAAGGCCACAAGCCAUAAAAAUAGGCAAAAUAUUUGUUACAAGUAAUCUACAGCAAGGUGAAGGUGAAGAGUUCUUCAGUGUCUGACAGGAUGCUCAACCCCACUCCCAAUAAGAGUGAUGCAGACGCAAACCAGCCUGAGAUGGAACUUGUACCUAUGAGAUCAGCACACCUGCAGGAACAGGACAAGACAUCGUUAGCAGUGCUGUGGAGAAACAGUCAGAUGGCUGGAUAGGAUGUCAUUGUGUAGUACUCCCAGGGACAGCAAAAUGGCCGUAUCUGCCACAUCCUAUAUCCUGUGACUCAGCAAUUCCGUUCUUAAGAACAUACUCUAUAAACUCUCACGUUGUGAAAUGACCUAUGUGUGAAAGUAGUUAUCACAGCACUGUUGGUAACAGUAAUGAGAUUGGAAACCUAAAUAUCCAUGAAGAAGGGGAAAGUAAAAUAAAUUGUGACCCUACAGUAGAAUAUGCAGAAUUUAAAAAGAAGGUGGGGAGGAGGUGGGGGGGAGAGGAGAGAAUAAAAAGAACAAGUAAGCUCUUCAAAAACAGAUAUGGAAAGAUUUCAAAGAUACAGAGUGGAUGGUAAAAAAAAAAAAAAGCAAGCUACAAGAAAAUACCUACAAUGAGCCACCACUUAUGUAAAACAGAAGGGGAAAAUAAGUGUUUAGCUAGUUUUGCGGGUGCAAAAGUAGUUACUAGAAGGAUGAUCCAGAAACUUAAUUUUUUUUAAUGUUUAUUUUUGAGAGAGAGAGAGCGAGUGAGCACGAGCACAAGAGGGGCAGAGAGAGAGGGAGACACAGAAUCCUAAGUAAGCUCCAGGCUUUGAGCUGUCGGCACAGAGCCCAAUGCGGGGCUCAAACUCAUAGGGUGUCAGCCAAAGUUGGAUGUUCAACCGACUGAGCCACCCAGGGACCUCUGAUUCUUUUUUAUUUUUUAAUGUUUAUUUUUGAGAGGGGGGCGGACAGAGAGGAUCCAAAGUAGGCUGUGUGCUGACAGCAGAGAGCUCGAUGAGGGGGCUCGAACCCCUGAACUACGAGAUCAUGACCUGAGCUGAAGUUAGAUGCUUAACCAACUGAACCCCCCAGUGCCUCUCAAUAAUUGUGAUUCCUGAUUGAAGAUCAGAGUGGGCAAGGUGGUGCCUGAGUAGAUGGGAUGGGAGUGAUAGAUGUAUUUGAAUGUGUACCUUUUAUACUUCGUAAGGGUUUGAACUGUGGGGAUGUAUUACAGAUUUAAGAAAAAAAUAACAUUCCUGUGGUUUAAACAAACUAAUGCCUGUGAGAAA